rnacentral:lncRNA from 1 species
CUUUUGGAAAUGCUUGGAAUGCAAGUGUCAACAAUACUAGAAGAUAUUAUGAAAGUAAAAUCUUGUGACCAUGGUGAAACUUCCUAUGGUAGAAAAUGUAUUUUUUUUUCUUUUUUUUUUUUUUCCUAUUUUCUUUUUCAAUAUUCUCUUGCAGAUCAUCACGUUAGAAGUGGUCCUGUAUCCUGACCAGGAGGAACUAAUUGUUAACUGCACAGAACAAAACAACUGUUCCAUUGCAACAGUUCUAAUUAGAAGUGAUCAGAGGAAAAGCAAAGAAAGUCAUUGCCUGAGGGACAGAUUCUGCUGCCAUUCAUAGAAUCAUAAAAUAACAAGUUGGAAUGGAUUCAUAAGGAUCAUUGAGUCCAACUCCUGGCACCACACAGGUCUACCCAAAAGUUCACAUUGUAUGACUAAAAGCAUAGUCCAAAUGCUUCUUAAACUCUGACAGGCUUGGUGCUGUGACUUCAUCCCUGGGAAACCUGUUCCAGUGUGCGACAACCCUCUCAGUGAAAAACCUCUUCCUGUUAUCCAACCUGAACCUCCCCUGUCACAGCACGACUCCAUUCUCUUGAGUUCUACCACUGAUCACCGUUCUUCAUACAAAGCCUCUAUAGACCUCUGUAGGCAUUUCCAGUGGAAAGAGAUGACAGGACACAGAAUUUCAUGAUGAUAGGCAACAGAAGAGUUAACACCAGAGACCUCUUACAGUCUGCUGAUUCAGCCACAUCACUUCUGAAUUAUCAAUAAACAACAGUGUUGAAAUCA